rnacentral:rRNA from 1 species
CUACAAAGGAAUUGACGGGGACCCGCACAAGCGGUGGAUGAUGUGGAUUAAUUCGAUGCAACGCGAAAAACCUUACCUACCCUUGACAUGUCCGGAAUCCCGAAGAGAUUUGGGAGUGCUCGCAAGAGAACCGGAACACAGGUGCUGCAUGGCUGUCGUCAGCUCGUGUCGUGAGAUGUUGGGUUAAGUCCCGCAACGAGCGCAACCCUUGUCAUUAGUUGCCAUCAUUUGGUUGGGCACUCUAAUGAGACUGCCGGUGACAAACCGGAGGAAGGUGGGGAUGACGUCAAGUCCUCAUGGCCCUUAUGGGUAGGGCUUCACACGUCAUACAAUGGCCGGUACAGAGGGUAGCCAACCCGCGAGGGGGAGCCAAUCCCACAAAGCCGGUCGUAGUCCGGAUCGCAGUCUGCAACUCGACUGCGUGAAGUCGGAAUCGCUAGUAAUCGCGGAUCAGCAUGUCGCGGUGAAUACGUUCCCGGGUCUU